rnacentral:rRNA from 1 species
ACGAACGCUGGCGGCGUGCCUAACACAUGCAAGUUGAGCGACGAACCAGGGCUUGCCCUGGGGCAAAGCAGCGAACGGGUGAGUAACACGUGGGUAACCUACCCCGAUAACCGGGACAACCCGAGGAAACUCGGGCUAAUACCGGAUGUGCUCACUGGACUUCGGUUCAGUGCGUAAAGGAAGCUUCGGCCUCCGUAUCGGGAGGGGCCCGCGGCCCAUUAGUUUGUUGGUGAGGUAACGGCUCACCAAGACCGCGAUGGGUAGCUGGUCUGAGAGGACGAUCAGCCACACUGGGACUGAGACGCGGCCCAGACUCCUACGGGAGGCAGCAGUGGGGAAUCUUGCGCAAAGCGCGAAAGCGUGACGCAGCAACGCCGCGUGGGGGAAGAAGGCCUUCGGGUUGUAAACCCCUUUCAGGAGGGACGAAGGUUCGGCGGUGAAUAGCCGUCCGGACUGACGGUACCUCCACAAGAAGCCCCGGCUAACUACGUG